rnacentral:rRNA from 1 species
UGGGGAAUAUUGCACAAUGGGCGCAAGCCUGAUGCAGCCAUGCCGCGUGUGUGAAGAAGGCCUUCGGGUUGUAAAGCACUUUCAGCGAGGAGGAAGGUGGUGAGCUUAAUACGCUCAUCAAUUGACGUUACUCGCAGAAGAAGCACCGGCUAACUCCGUGCCAGCAGCCGCGGUAAUACGGAGGGUGCAAGCGUUAAUCGGAAUUACUGGGCGUAAAGCGCACGCAGGCGGUUUGUUAAGUCAGAUGUGAAAUCCCCGGGCUCAACCUGGGAACUGCAUUUGAAACUGGCAAGCUAGAGUCUCGUAGAGGGGGGUAGAAUUCCAGGUGUAGCGGUGAAAUGCGUAGAGAUCUGGAGGAAUACCGGUGGCGAAGGCGGCCCCCCUGGACGAAGACUGACGCUCAGGUGCGAAAGCGUGGGGAGCAAAACAGGAUUAGAUACCCUGGUAGUCACGCUGUAAACGAUGUCGAUUUUGGAGGUUGUGCCCUUGAGGCGUGGCUUCCGGAGCUAACGCGUUAAAUCGACCGCCUGGGGAGUACGGCCGCAAGGUU